rnacentral:rRNA from 1 species
AGCGAACGCUGGCGGCAGGCCUAACACAUGCAAGUCGAACGAACCUUUCGGGGUUAGUGGCGGACGGGUGAGUAACACGUGGGAACGUGCCUUUAGGUUCGGAAUAACUCAGGGAAACUUGUGCUAAUACCGAAUGUGCCCUUCGGGGGAAAGAUUAAUCGCCGUUAGAGCGGCCCGCGUCUGAUUAGCUAGUUGGUUGAGGUAAUGGCUCACCAAGGCGACGAUCAGUAGCUGGUCUGAGAGGAUGAUCAGCCACAUUGGGACUGAGACACGGCCCAAACUCCGACGGGAGGCAGCAGUGGGGAAUCUUGCGCAAUGGGCGAAAGCCUGACGCAGCCAUGCCGCGUGAAUGAUGAAGGUCUUAGGAUGGUAAAAUUCUUUCACCGGGGACGAUAAUGACGGUACCCGGAGAAGAAGCCCCGGCUAACUUCGU